CACGUAGGGCGCAAGCGUUGUCCGGAAUUAUUGGGCGUAAAGAGCUCGUAGGCGGUCUGUUGCGUCCGCUGUGAAAACUCGGGGCUUAACCCCGAGCCUGCAGUGGAUACGGGCAGACUAGAGGUAGGUAGGGGAGAAUGGAAUUCCCGGUGUAGCGGUGAAAUGCGUAGAUAUCUGGAGGAACACCGGUGGCGAAGGCGGCGUCCUGGACCAACACUGACACUGAGGAGCGAAAGCCAGGGGAGCAAACGGG
rnacentral:rRNA from 1 species